rnacentral:ncRNA from 1 species
CUUUGAAUGAAGGUCAUUCAAGGCGGAAGGAG